AUGCUUUACCCUAGAUUUUAUCAUAGCUGUAAUUAAGCAAUUGUCAUUUGUAAUUGUUUGAUAUUUGUGAAAGCGAAAGUGGGUUCGAGGUGACAACUGGUCGCCGAACGUAGCCACGGAACAUUGUUAAUAGUGUUAAUUAAAUUCAUUAUUCGUAAAACCUAUUAAUCGUUAAUCUCAUUAUUCGUUAAAUUUAUUAUUCGUAAGACAUAUUAUUCGUUCCUCUUAUUGUUCGUUAAACUUAUUAUUCUUUAAUCUAAUUAUUAGUUAAACUUAUCGUUUGUUAAUCUUAUCAUUUAUUAAACUCAUUAUUCAUGAUAUUUUGUAAAAUCUUGUAUAUUCGCGUAAAUAUAAUCUCUGUCUCGUAAA